GUGUUUUGACUGAGAAAAGCCAUUUUGUUUUUGUUUUUUUUAGACAUAUAGUGGGAUCCUCGUCCCGUGGUGACGUCAUCACCCAAACUUCAGUUUGCGGUCAACAGUUUGCGCUUUAAAAAAAAGGGGGGGGGGGGGGGUAAGGGUAACUGUCCCGGUGUUAUUUUUAAAUUCACCAACUUUAUACUUUAGCGAUAAGGAAAAAUGCUAAUGUCUGCCUACACGAAGCUAGCCCACUUCGCCGCGGCUCGGGCCGUGAUUCUUUCCAUGUCCAUGUCGGGUAAAAGAAGAGGAGGAGGAGGAGGACAAAAAUGGGGGAUCACUUUCUUACCGCUGUCAAUGAAAUUGCGCUCAUCUCCCCGCUAACUUCUGGAGGUCCGCAUGGUGCUCUGCCUCACAGCAUCAGCGGCUUUUAACGUACAAAUCCCGCAGUUGGAAGCUACGAAGUCCGUUCGGAAGUUUCCUCUAUGGCUGGAGGAGGAGGACGUUUUCUAGGGAGAAAGGCGGAGCACAGAACUGGAGGACUGGAGGCGUGACUUUCGGGGGAAGGGAAGAUAGUGAGCCGGUCAAAGACCCCGGCUGGAAAUAGCAGGUGAGGGAGAUGAGCAGCACGGCCACAAAGGCCCCGCCUCCAACGCCGACCUUAAGCCACAGAGCGAUGGCCUCACACGGGGAGGAGCUCCGAGGAGGCAGAGACACUCCUUUGGUGCACAAUUUGGGCUCGUUCCACACAUAUAGAGUUUCCUGUUGACAUGAGGGGAUUUGCAUUACUGAUUAAUGUGUUUUCUCAGGUUAUAAAUAAGUUUGUUCCAUUAAAACAUUAUUAAACUGGUUUUGGCUAAAUCA